GUUGAUCCUGCGGGAGAUUACUGCUAUUAGGAUAUGAUUUAGACAUGCAAGUCAUGGGUUUCUUCGGAAACACCGGCGAAAGGCUCAGUAACACGUCGAUAAUCUGCCUUAUGGUCUAGGACAGCCUCGGGAAACUGAGGGUAAACCUGGAUAUGGAAUUGAUACUGGAAGGUUCUUUUCCUGAAAAGCAAUGCCAUAAGAUGAGUCGGCGGCUGAUUAGGUUGUUGGUGAGGUAAUGGCUCACCAAGCCGACGAUCAGUAGGGGGGAUGAGAGUCCUAGCCUCGAGAAGGACACUGAGAAAAGGGUCCUAGCCCUAAGGGGUGCAGCAGUCGCGAAACCUUUACAAUGCACGAAAGUGUGAUAAGGAUAUCCUAAGUGCUUGCCUUCUGGGCGAGCUUUUGCCAAGUUUAAAUCUCUUGGCGAAUAAGUGGUGGGCAAGACUGGUGCCAGCCGCCGCGGUAACACCAGCGCCACAAGUGGUAAUCAUGUUUAUUGGGUCUAAAGCGUCUGUAGCUGGUUUGAAAAGUCUUUUGUGAAACUGUUGAGCUUAACUCAACAACUUGCAAAAGAUACUAUCUAACUUGAGACCGGGAGGAGAUAAGAGAAUUCCUUGGGUAGCGGUAAAAUGUGUUAAUCCUUGGGAGACUACCAAUGGCGAAGGCACUUAUCUAGAACGGUUCUGACAGUGAGAGACGAAAGCUAGGGGAGCGAUCGGGAUUAGAUACCCCAGUAGUCCUAGCCGUAAACGCUGCAAACUAUGUGUUGCAUAUCUUCUGUAGGUAUGCAGUGCCGAAGCGAAGGCGUUAAGUUUGCCACCUGGGAAGUACGGCCGCAAGACUGAAACUUAAAGGAAUUGGCGGGGGCGCGCUACAAGGGGUGCGGCGUGCGGUUUAAUUUAACUAUACACAGAGAAUCUCACCAGCAGCGACGGCACAAUGAAGGUCAGAUUGAAGGUUUUACCUAAGGAGCCGAGAGAUGCUGCAUGGCCGCCGUCAGUUCGUGCCGUAAGGUGUCCUGUUAAGUCAGUUAACGAACAAGACCCAUAUCCACAGUUGCUAGCGAGUCCUUUUGGAUGAUCGAGCACACUGUUGAGACUGCCUUGGUAACAAGGAGGAAGGUGUGGGCAACGGUAGGUCUGUAUGGCUCGAAUCUGCUGGGCUACACGCGCGCAACAAUGGUAAGGACAAUGGGAUACAACCCUGAAAAGGGAAGUCAAACCUCGAAACCUUAUCUUAGUUUAGAUUGAGGGCUGCAACUCGUCCUCAUAACACCGGAAUCCCUAGUAAUCGGAUGUCACAAGCGUCCGGUGAAUACGUCAACGUGCCUUGCACACACUGCCCGUCAUCCCAGCCGAGCAGGGUCUAGGUGAGGAUUAGGUUUUUGCUUAAUUCGAACCUGGGUUCAGCAAGGAGGGGCAAGUUGUCACAAGGUA
rnacentral:rRNA from 1 species